CCUACGGGCGGCUGCAGUGGGGAAUAUUGGACAAUGGGGGCAACCCUGAUCCAGCCAUGCCGCGUGUGUGAAGAAGGCCCUCGGGUUGUAAAGCACUUUCAGUGAGGAAGAACGCCUGGUGGUUAAUACCCAUCAGGAAAGACAUCACUCACAGAAGAAGCACCGGCUAACUCCGUGCCAGCAGCCGCGGUAAUACGGAGGGUGCGAGCGUUAAUCGGAAUUACUGGGCGUAAAGCGCGCGUAGGUGGCUUGAUAAGCCGGUUGUGAAAGCCCCGGGCUCAACCUGGGAACGGCAUCCGGAACUGUCAAGCUAGAGUGCAGGAGAGGAAGGUAGUAUUCCCGGUGUAGCGGUGAAAUGCGUAGAGAUCGGGAGGAAUACCAGUGGCGAAGGCGGCCUUCUGGACUGACACUGACACUGAGGUGCGAAAGCGUGGGUAGCAAACAGGAUUAGAUACCCUGGUAGUC
rnacentral:rRNA from 1 species